UCCCUUUUCAUUUCUGAUUUUGUUAAUUUGGACGCACUCUCUGUGUCCUCUCGUUAGUCUGGCUAAGGGUUUAUCUAUCUUGUUGAUUUUCUCAAAGAACCAACUUUUGGUUCUGUUGAUUCUUUCUAUGGUCCUUUUUGUUUCUACUUGGUUGAUUUCAGCUCUGAGUUUGAUUAUUUCCUGUCUUCUACUCCUCCUGGGUGUAUUUGCUUCUUUUUGUUCUAGAGCUUUUAGGUGUGCUGUCAAGCUGCUGACAUAUGCUCUUUCUUGUUUCUUUCUGCAGGCACUCAGCGCUAUGAGUUUUCCUCUUAGCACAGCUUUCAUUGUGUCCCAUAAGUUUGGGUAUGUUGUACCUUCAUUUUCAUUAAAUUCUAAAAAGUUUUUAAUUUCUUUCUUUAUUUCUUCCUUGACCAGGUUAUCAUUGAGUAGAGCAUUGUUCAAUUUCCAAGUAUAUGUGGGCAUUCUUCCUUGAUUGUUAUUGAAGACCAGUUUUAGGCUGUGGUGGUCUGAUAGCACGCAUGGGAUUAUUUCUAUCUUUCUGUACCUGUUGAGGCCCGCUUUUUGACCAAUUAUAUGGUCAAUUUUGGAGAAAGUACCAUGAGGAGCUGAGAAGAAGGUAUAUCCUUUUGCUUUAGGAUAGAAUGUUCUAUAAAUAUCCGUUAAGUCCAUUUGGCUCAUGACUUCUCUUAGUCUGUCUACAUCUCUGUUUAAUUUCUGCUUCCAUGAUCUGUCCAUUGAUGAGAGUGGGGUGUUGAAAUCUCCCACUAUUAUUGUGUGAGGUGCAAUGUGUGUUUUGAGCUUUAGUAAGGUUUCUUUUACAUAUGUAGGUGCCCUUGUAUUUGGGGCAUAGAUAUUUAGGAUUGAGAGUUCAUCUUGGUGGAUUUUUCCUUUGAUGAAUAUGAAGUGUCCUUCCUUAUAUUUUUUGAUGACUUUUAGUUGAAAAUUGAUUUUAUUUGAUAUUAGAAUGGCGACUCCAGCUUGCUUCUUCUGACCAUUUGCUUGGAAAAUUGUUUUCCAGCCUUUCACUCUGAGGUAAUGUCUGUCUUUGUCUCUGAGGUGUGUUUCCUGUAGGCAGCAGAAUGCAGGGUCCUCGUUGCGUAUCCAGUUUGUUAAUCUAUGUCUUUUUAUUGGGGAGUUGAGGCCAUUGAUGUUGAGAGAUAUUAAGGAAUAGUGAUUAUUGCUUCCCGUUAUAUUCAUAUUUGGAUAUGAGGUUAUGUUUGUGUGCUUUCAUUCCCUUUGUUUUGUUGCCAAGAGGAUUAGUUUCUUGCUUCUUCUAGGGUAUAGCUGUAGGCAACACUUUUUAAUCCCAAAUUUAUAGAUAGGAUAAUUGAGGCACAGACAUCCUAAAAAUUCUCCACAAAGGUGGUAAGGUAAGGGUUUGGACCCAAUGAUUCUGGUUCAGGUGUCUCCAUCUUUAACACUGUGCUUGCCACCUCUUCAAAAUCAAUGGAGAAUGGCCCCAGUAUGAGAUGUGAGUCUUGGAGGGUGCAGAGCCCAACUCCCCUUGCGUUUAGCUUGUGGUGCUUCCCCCAGUUUGCAUACAUUGCUGUUUGGGGUUUAAAGGAUUUUAUGUGUAAUCUUAUUUAAUAAACUGAGUGUGUCCUCAGAAAGAAAGCAACUAAGGAUAUAAUUUUCUUCAAGUCCACAAUAGUAGGGACUUUGCAGAGACCCUGUGCAUUCUGACAGUUUAAUGGGAAGCCACGGAGUUUCACAGUUUGAGGGAGGAUGGCCAGUCCUCUGAUGCAUUAAUUACAAGGAAACUGAAUUCUUAGGAACAAGUGUGGUACCAUCUCAAUUGGGAAGUGCUCAGCACAAAGAUCAGACAAAGAAACAAAGCAAAGCCUCCUUUGAUCAGAAUGCCCCCAACCCCAAUUUCCUUUCAUAAAUGGAGGAAUCUCAUACAGUCAAUCAUAAGCAUUUUUAGUUUGAACAGUAGUGCAUCAGAGUACAAUCAUUCCCUUGAACAUGGAGAGUGUCUGUCCUACAGACACUAUAAUUACUUUUGGACUGAAUCCGUUUUGCUCUAGUCUGGGUAAAGACUGUUUUGCUUGUGUGGUUGAGGAAGUGGAGUUCUGUAGUAACUUUCUGGAGAGUGUCAAGGAAGCCCACUGAUUUCUUCCACUCAUUCCCUGACUAGGUACCACAAGUCAUGAAUUAAGGGUUGACUUUGGUUCCUGGCAAGGUGAGUCCAUAUUGUCUUUCUUUGGAAUGGAUUAGAGGUUCCCUCAGGGGCAGGUUUCCAAGUCCUUUUCUUCAAGUCCAAAUGUUGAUUAUUUUCUUUACCCAUAGGCCUGGAGUUCAAGGGCAAGGGUGGCUUUUGGGGAGGGAAUCAGACAGGAGGUUUUUAGAAUAAACAUCUUGAUACGCAUUCCAUGACCCCUAUUUACUUCAAAGGGCUGUUAAGUGCAGGCAGGGCUGAGAAUACCAGAAUAGAACAGCUUCUGUAACGGAACUGCCUUUGCUUGCUUUUCAGACUGAUGAAGCUAACUAUCGCCUUCCAAACCUAGACCAUGUUUCCUUCCCAUUUCCCUCCUUUUAGAAUCACAACCCUGCUGUCUAUCUGUCACAAGGACAAUCUCUGCCUUGCUUAUUUACCAAUCGUCAAGGAGCCUGGGAGAAGCCAGUGACUGACAGCAGGCAUCUAAGAAGAUGCAGGACCCAUGCUUAGAGGAGAACAGAAGAUGAGCAGUGUCAAGUACAUCCUUCCAGCCGUUAUGGAAAUAACUGACAUUGAAAAUUGAAAAAGAAAAGAACGCAACCUUAUCAACUCCCGCCUUUUCCAUGGACACCGAUGGUCCUGACAUGGAAGAUGAAGUGAUGGUCUGAAUUUUCACCUGGACCUUCAUGGAAGGAUAGCCUCCUUAGUUUACUGUCCGUCAACAGAGCUUCAAACUCAAAGAGCAAAAGACAAGAGUCCCAUAGACUUUUGAGAAAGCACUUCAGUUUGGAAUUAAUCCCUGAUCCGCCCAGGUGAAUUUGUUACUUAGUAACAACAGUUAAAGGAGGAUAAAAUGGAGACUCUCAAUCAAAGCCCUGCUUUCUGAAACCUUAGCACCAACCUAUUUCCCCCAUCACUUGUUUCCAAGAUGCACGAUUCAUCUGGUCUCUAAUGUGCAAAACUCAGCUCUACAAACAUUCCUAGAACAUCCCUGUUGCAGUUUUUAGGAAUAUUGUCUCUGUGUACUAAGAUUAACAGGAAAUUUCAGAGCCAGGCAUUUUUAUCUUUUUCUAGAGUUUUGAAUCCACUUGUUUUCAAGAUUUGUGGUCUCCAUUCUCUUGCUCAGUUCCAUGUAUUGAGCUCUGUCUGUGCCUUCAAGGUUUUGCACGUUGAUGUUUUAUGGCAAUGCUUCUCAGCCUGGCUCAGGAGCCCCUGCCAAACACUCUCUAAUUCAUGAUGCCACCUGGCGGUGAAUUGAGAUACUGCAGAAUAACCUGGGCUAGGAGAAGGAAGAGUGGAGUAGAAGGAGUUCUGAUUAAUGCAAUAAUGAUAAUUUUUACAGUUGCCCGAUCUUUAACUCAAAGGAGAGUAGAGGUCAUGUAGACAAGAGUAUUCCAUUUUUGAAAUCCUGCACCUUUCUUCAGAACAGAGAACCGGCAACAGGAUCCCAGGGAACUGUCCUUCCUGGGGCUAGUCCUGGGCCUUUGUUUAAAGUAGGUAUCAAAUAAAGGCACUCCAAGGAGAAAAAUGUGACAUCCAACAAAUUUAACAACAUUUCAAGGAUCUGCUUGCUUUAGUUUAUUCAGGUGCCUUUGGCUCAGGAAACAGAGUUACGCUUGGUUAAAAGUUUUGUGGCUCAGAGCUGCUGCUAAAGUAAUCAAAGCCGCCCACAGCCUCACAAAGCAAGGUAAUCCGGAUCAGACAGCUCCUAAAUUUGAGACCUUCUGAUCCUGCUUAUGUGACAGUUAGGAAGGAAAUAUUUAACCUUUCGCUAGACUUUGCUGAAGCCUUUGAGGGGCUGGCAUUCCCUGUGUUUCUAGCAUUACCUAGCUCAUCCCCACAGGAAAGUAGAGGGGGGUUGAAAUACAACUCUUUGAGCAGGGAAGAAAGUUGCAGUUGCAAGAGGGCAAAGAACACUUCAAACGGAGUUUUAGGCAUCUGCACGUCUCAUGCAGGGUAAGUCACUAAGAUGCAAUCUGGCGUUUUAAGCUCCAACUUUUAGUGAUAGGAUUGCUUUCCGCUAACGUACCCCAAUUGGUCUAACUGGUUGAGCAGUAGGCUGGAGUUUUGUUCCUGCUGGUCAGUGGGUAAGGUCCUAGAAACUUUAGAUAUCCUGUGCAUAGCACCUCCAUGCACUCCUUUGGGGCCCACAAUGCCCUACUAGUUGGAGCUAUCCCACAGGGUCUUUGGAACAGUUGUAGGCUUGGAGGGACAACUGCAAUGAUUUGGAGAAAGAAGAGGUCAUGAGUUCUCUUGCCCCUUAGGUCUUUCUCUGAAUACUUGAUCUUCCUCUUUCCUCUUUAAAAUUUCUUCCAAAUGUUUAUUAUUUUAUUUUUCAUUAACAAAUCUUCAAUAAUAUAAGCACAAGACAGCAGGGCCGAUGCUCAUGUAAUAGCCUAAUGUCAUCUGACCCAAAUUUUUUAAUCAUUUAGAGACUAGAGAUGAUGGCUUAUCUAACAUCAUAGAAAUGAGUUAUUUUUCAUAAAAAUAACCUUAUUUUUUUAUUCUGCCGUUGUUUAGGCAAAAACUUGUAAAAUCCCUGAGGCCAGCCACUUUUCUCACUGUUGCUAUUUCCAACACACGCACACACACACACACACACACACACACACACACACACACACACACACAUUUUUGAAUUAAAAAAUUGUAUGUAUGUCUUGCCAGAAUGUGUGUCUGUAUACUACAUUGGUACAGUGUCAGCUGAGGCUUCAGACCCCUGAGACCGGAGCUUCAGAUAAUAGUGAGCCUCCAUGGGGUGCUCAAAGUUGAACCCAGAAGGACAAACAGUACUCAACUGCUGAGCCAUCCAUCUGUCCACCCUACUCCCUCAGAGUUCAUGUAAGAUUCCUUCUCACAUCUGUGGCUUGGUAUGUAUUAUUGCUUCUUUGUGAAAUUGGUCUUCCCACUAUUGGUCUGCAAGACUGAUUGGUGGUUAUUCUACAAUACCUCCCAGACAUAGUCCAGCAGAGCUCUCUCUCUCCCAGGUACUCUACACACCGGUGUCCUUCCUACUGUUGUUAGUUUGUAAUGUGAUGAUUCUUCUUUUCACACUUUUCUUUACUCUAUGGUACAGCUAUAUAGCCUCCAGAAGCCGCGAAGCUUUUGGUGAAUGUACCCAUGUAUAUGUCGAUAUCUUCAGGGGCCAGUCCAAACAACUCUCGGAUGCCUUGGCCCAUGGUACCUGUACAGCCAAUACUGUGAGCUUCAUCCAUGUAGAGGUGGGGUUGCUGCUAAAAGGGAAGUCAGAAGUUCAUUCUCAGAUACACAUCCCCAAGAUGGAGAGUUGCCCAGAGGACCAGAAAAGGCAAGAGGAGAGAGCAAGUGCAAGGAUGAUGACAGAUAUAUGGAAGGCAGCAUUAGAUCUGCUUCUCUGUGCUGCUAACAUCCCAGCCCUUGUUCCGAGUACAGACACUUGGGGUGUGUUGACCAUGUGAAAGCCCGUGAGGACAUACGCUUCUUCAGCAAAGAGUUGGCUUCACAUUCUGAUCUUCAGAACCUAAUACAUCUGCAGAUCCAUUUGUGCAAGCCAGCAGAUGGUGCUUUUGAGAAACAAAAGGUCUGUUAUGGGGAGAAGGAGGUUCCCUUUUCUUCACACAGGUGAGUGCAAUGUGAGUAAAUGUGUUUUUGUUCAAGAAUGCUUUUUGAAAAAAUUUGCACAGCCUGGAAGGCGUUAUGAAUGCAGUGGCAAUGACAUCAUGUGGAAGAGUUCAGGGAUUCUGUAUUUACUAUUCUCUGCAGUAGUCACUGUUCUGGCAUGGCUUUCACGGGGAGGAUACUAAGUCAGAGAUGCUGUCACUAUCUAUGUGCUAUCAUUAGAGAUGUCAUUGCAGCUGAAACAUUAAAAAUAGUAUUUUUUAUAAUUUGAUGUAUUUUUGGAAACACUUCAAGUGUGUACUUUCCAAUAUUUUUGAAAGUCUUAAGUUCAGCUAAAAUGUCCCCUGAACUAUCGGAAGUUUAAUAAUAUCAAAAAACAUAAGGGACAGUGAGACAAAAGCAAAUCCAGCCCUUACUUUUCAGAUGCCACAUGAUGCUAGGCUGCUUUUCGCUUCCUCGCCAGUGGAAUAAUUCUUGGUUCAGUACAACCUUGCAGUGAGAAAAAAAGGACAUCGCUUGCCUUCAUCCUUUGAAAAACAAGAUCCCAUGGUUUUGCUUAUGAUAAGAAGCACUUUACUCUCACAGUACAUUCUCCCCUGAGAUUCAUUUUCAGUCUUUUUCUUUCUUUUAGAUGUGUGUGUGUAUGUGUGUGUGUGUGUGUGUGUGUGUGUGUGUGUGUGUGUGUGUGUGCGCGCGCGCGCGCGCCCAGAUGCAUGUGGUACAGGAGCGUGUGGAGGUCAGAUAUCAAGAUUGGGUGUCUUCUUCAGUUGCUCUCCACUGUUUAAUUUGAGACAGUGUCUCUCACUGAACCUGGAGCUCACUGAUUGGCUAGGCUGCCUAGUGAGGUCCUGAGAUUGACCAAUCUUUAGGUCCUCAGGAUUACUGGUGCACACUGCCACACCUGACUUUCUGUAGAUAUGUGAGAUCUGACAUGGUACCUCAUGUUUAGAGAGCAUGCAACUUACCAACCGAGUCAUCUCCUUAGCCUCCCUUUUGUUAUUGGAAUUGUGCAAAGAGAAAUAAAAGACAGUAUCUUUUUUUAUUGGAUAUUUUUUAUUUACAUUUCAAACGUUAGUCCCUUUCUCGGUUUCCUGCCCAUAAGCCCCCUAUCCCCUUCCCCUUCUUCUAUAAGGGUGUUCCCCCUCCCCAAUCACCCCCUUCCCGCCUCCCCAUCUUGACAUUCAUGCUGUAGGAAAAUGGAAGUGUGGAUUCACGUUUCUAGGACUUGAAUACUCCAUGAGAUGCUAAAGGAAGAAGAAAUGACAAUGCUAAAAUUCUAUUGGUUGCAUGAAGAGUAAUGGGAAAUUGCUCCUCUAACCUGUGUAAGGCCACAGGUCAAAUGUUGAAUAACACACACACACACACACACACACACACACACACACACACCCCUCUGACAGGAGAGUUGUGGUAAACCUACAGUUUAUAAAUCUACAGCUGUGCAGCUGUAACAUUGUGUGUGGGAGACUAAGGCAGGAAGGUAAUGAGUUUGAGAUAAGUGUGAUAUCUUUGUCACAUUGCCCUGACAAAAUACCUGACAAAAUUAACUUAAGCAAGGAGAGGCUUACCUUGGCUCCCAGUGGGAGGGCAUAGGGAAGCAGGCAAGGUGGCUCUGGCUGUGACAGCAGUAACAUGGGGCAGCUGCUCACAUCACAUUGUGGGCACAGUCAGGAACUAGGGAGAAAGGCAUGAUGGAGAUUCAGUUUCCUCUUUUUCAUUCAGUCCUUGACCCUGGGCUAUCGAAUGGUAUCAUUCACAAUUGGAGUGGGUCUUUCUACCUCCACUACUCCUCUCUGGAAACAUCUUCACAGCUAUGCUCAAAGGUUUAUCUCCUGGGGGACUCUAAAUUCCAUCAAGUUGACAAUGAAGACUAAUUAUCACAGAUCAUAUCUUUUUUUAAAAAAAAUUGGCUCUUGAUUAAUGGUUCCUUAAGAAUCCGCCGCCAAGUAUUCCUACAAUGUAGUUCAUGUUGCAUGGAAGUUAUCCUCUGAUGGGUUAUGUCAUGGAGUGAUAAUAUACUAAUCCUUCAUACUCAGACCUGUACAACAGUCUCUGGCAUUGGUAAUCCCCACUGAUAUUUUCCUUUUCAACUCUUGGAUAAUGUGCCCAUGUUAUUGUAUCCUGGGGUACUCUAGUGCUGACUGAGGAUGCUGCUGCCCACUCAUGGAAGGUGUGGGAAGUAUCGAGAAUUAACACUGCCAGAAGGCAAAUGCAAAUAGAAUUUAAACUCCCUUGCAUCUCAAGUGCAUGAGUCCUGUAGGUUCUCAAAGCUUUCUGGUGAUAAUUGACUUGUCUAACUUAAACUAUUAUGGGUGACUCCCUUUCCUCACUCCUUCAGCGUCUUACAGGUGUUUCCUGGACUUCAUGAACACACUAACUGAAACCAUGCUCCCGCUGAGGGUCACACUCUGUGGGAUUCCUAACACAAACACGGAAAUAUUGGCUCCAGUAGCUCUUGAAGUUGAAUCUCGUUUUAUGUGUGGAGUUUCCUUAGUUCUACUGCUUUUUAUUUCACUUUCACUACCACAGCUCUCUGAUUAAAGUCAUAAUGUGAACCUGGAAUAGGAAUAGGAACAUUGGUUUAUUUAGGAGGGUGAUACACACACACACACACACAC